rnacentral:pre_miRNA from 1 species
GAUGGACGACGAUGACGAUGACGACGACGGUGGUGGUGGUGGUGGCACGGAGAAUCCUCAAAUGAAAUCGUUACGCCGCACUGCCACCGCCGCCGUCGUCGCCGUCGCCGUUGCAG